CCAAACAAUCUGAAACAGUCUCAGCUUACAGGAAAAAAUGGAGAAGGGAAAAGAAGUGACUGCUUUAGCUCUGACUUUUCCUGAUCAUUACCUCUCAAAUAUGAUCACCGUAUGAAACCGUUGACAACAUUUCGGAGUCAUUUCAUCUGAAAGGAAGGCUCAUCUUUUCAUAUUCAAAGACGGAGUACCCAAAAUGUCAUAUUUUGGACAUCAGAUCUAAAGAGCCAUUCAUUAUCCAGAAACCAGGAGGGCUGGGCAGAGACACAGCAAGAAGUGCUGAUGUGUUCCACUCUGUGAAGGGGACAAGCCAGAAAGACUGCAGUGUGUCUCAAGAAAAGCUGAAGAAUGUACUGUUCUUUAACAGCUGUUUUCAGGGUUAUAAGAAAAUGUCCCAAGCACUGCGUGCAGUUAUUCAGUGGACUGUGGAAACAUAGUCCAAAAUGGCUAAUCAUAAAACUGGAAGUUUGUCUUGUAGAAAACUGGUGGCUCUCUAAUGAAUAAAAUAUAUUUUCACCUUUAAAAAUCAGAUUUUUUAAAAAGUACAGCAGAUAAGUAAUGAGAAUUUGUAAGAGAGAACUAAUCUUCCUAAAAUAAUUCUGAGAAAUAAAUUGUAUUAAAGACUUUGAGCUAAUUUCUUGUUCUGUGCCUGUAAUCACAGGGAGAUUAUAAUAUUUCAUGUUUUACCCAACACUACUAUCAUUUGCUGAUUGUCUGGACAAGUAAAAAAAAAUGUCCUAACUUAGAGAAGUACUUAAGUACGGGCCUAACCUUCUUCUACUUAAUAUGAAACUAGAAAAUUCAGAUGUUUAAUCCAUCAAGCAUGCCAUCUAAUAAUUAGACUACAUGCCUCAGAAGCGUUGCUUUGUAUAUAAGUAUGUCUUUUAAAUAAGGAUGGCAGAAAUGUUUGGCAUUAAAAUCUUUAAAAAAUGCAGGCUUUCUAAAGAGAUGUGGUCCAAUAAAGAUUCAAUAAAAAAUCAGUCUCUAAUUAUGCUUAAUGGUAAUUUUGCUCAUUAGCUUUUGGGGGGGGUAAAUAUUCUUGAUUUGCAGAAAAGUCUUCCAUAUAUUUUUGGGUACAUUGUGUUAUUUAUUGUCUAGUGUUGUUGGGAUAUUUAAGCACUUAAUUUCUCACUUUUAAUUAUAAUUUGGCCUUUUUGUCUGUGUCAUAUGCUAUAUACACCUACCUCAAAUUUGUUUCUGAGGAUAUGCAAGGACCUUCACUUGGACUGAGGCAAUCCCAAGAACAGGCACAGGCUGGGUUGCCCAGAGAAGUUGUAGAUGGUUCCACCCUGGAAGCAUUCAAGGCCAGGCUGGAUGGGACUUGGAGCAACCUGGUCUAGAUGGAAGUGUACCUGCCUAUAGCAGGGGGUUAGAAUUAGACGAUCUUAAAGGUCCCUUCCAACACAAAUCAUUCUUUGUUUUUAUGAUUCUAUGAUAUCAAGAUGACUGUAUUUUAAAUGGCUUCAUCUCCAUUUCAGUAUGGAGCUCAGACAAUAAAUGAUGCAGGCUAGCAGUUAUUGGGCAGAAGAAGAGAGCAGAGAGAAAGAUGAGGGAAUGGAAGAAAUUGUAUUUUGUUGAUAGGAGAAUAGAACAAUUUAGUACUGUACAGGGAAUAAUUCAGAGAUAAUUGGAAUACUAAAAAGGAAGAGAAUAUUUGGAGGAAAAUAGUUCAUUUACUUACAAGAAAGAGUGAGGAGGUACAAUAAGAUGGUGGUGCUAGACAAGUAAAAGAGAAACCUAUUUUAUUUGUUGUGUUGUAUUCAUUGAAAGCGACGUUUUGAAACAUACACUGAUUAACUGCAAAUUGAAGAUGAAUAUUGCAUGACUGGGGAAAACAUUUUAAAAGAAUGUAAUACAUUUUGAAAUCAAUUGCAUGCUGUUGAAUCAGCCACAAUGAAGGUGGUGCAGUGGUGUUUGCUAGAGACAGUCAUUUAUUUAAAAAAAUAAAAAAAUCAGUGAAUCCCCACAGUAUAUGUUUUACUUUCCAAGCUAACGAUGUGGAAAAUCUCACAUAUCUAUAAAGACUCUUUAAAUUAUUUUUUAAUGUGUAUACAACAAAUGACAUACUCAUAGGGGCCAGAGACUUUGGUUUAAAUUAUAGAUGUAAAAUCUGCUGCUCAGCACACACUUUUAUAUGAAAUGAACCUGUAAUUUUAGACAAUCUUACCAUCUCUUUUCUGAGACGCAUAUAGUCAAGAGUGAAGUACAGAAAAUUUUUAAAAACUCACUUGGAGUUUACAGUUACCUAAACAUACAUAAAUCAGUACUUAGGGUCCAAGUUCUGAUUUAAAAAUUUCUUAAACUUACUAAUAUUUCUGGGAAAAAAAAAAAAGAAGAAAAAAAAAAGAAAUUUGGAAAAAUGUACCUUUUUCGAAACAUCUGCCCUGAAAUUAAUUCCCUUCCUAUUUCCAGUAAGAAAUAAAUUGGUUAAGAAUUGUAUGAGAAAUUAUAUCUUUAAAAACAGAAAUGUAAUUUCUGUUGACUUUACUCAUGAAAUACUGAAUAUAUUUUUCUCUUUCCCUGCUCUUGCAAUUUAAAAUCAUGUGUUUUGGAGAAUGUUUCAUUACUCAGUCUUCUCUCUCCUUCUUUUCCUUUAUUCAUCCCUUCCUUCUUUAAUUAUUUCCUCCCUUCUCCCCUUCCUUCCUAUUUCCCUCUCUUUCUCUCUCUCCCUGGCAAGUUUUUGAACUUUUGGAGUUACUUGGAUUACAGUUCUUUUUUCUCCAUCCUUUUUCUCCAGAAUGUGGCACUUAUGGCAACACACCAUGAAACACUUGACAUAGUCACUAGAAUUGACAGCACUGGUGGUAGGUAGCAUAGUGAAAAUAACAUUCAUUGUGGUAGUACUGGAGUGAGCCUAUAUAUUUACAAUAACCUGUUACUGCAGGAGAUACUGUCAAGUGCUUCCACCACAGCAUUUGAGCUUUUUGUUUUUACUGUGUUUGAAUAGCCUCAGCAGUGCCUGUGAACACCUCAUUAGGGCGUUCUGCUAGAAAAUAAGUGUAGAGACUAAAAUGGGAGAGGGAACUCUCAAUAGGGCAGUGCAGUUUCUUCAACCAUGAGGAGUGACACAAAAAAGACUGAAUAAAAAACUCGAUUCGUUUUUAUGUUCUGUCCUUCCUAGGUGCUUAAGGAUCAAAACUACUGUAACACUGACUAAUUACUAGCUUAAAUAAGAUGUGACCAUUAAAUAAAAGGACAUGUGCACUGUUAAUGAAUAUUAGUAAUUGAUCAAGAAAGGAACAGUUGAACAAAAUAAAGAUGCUCCAGUGUUUAUCAACAACAUGGUUACUGAAAAAUAAAUUCUAUAAUAUUCACAUUUUCUUCCUUAACUUCCUCUCUGACUCUGGACUAUGGGGAUCUGGUACAAUUUCAAGCUGAGACCAAUAGCACAUGAGAGGCUCACAACACAGUGUUUUCAAUAAAUUCUAAUGCACAGUGAUCUGCAAAAAAUGUUCAGGACUGAGAAUGUCCCUUUAGGGCUAAUGGUUUGGAAUCAUUGACUUUGAAUGAAUAUAAUCUGUGAAAGACUGAUUGCAUCAUUAGCACCCAGUUGUGCUAUUGAUUACAAGCAGACCAUGCUUGCUGUUCUACCACGAGUUAGCAGUGCUUGACUGACCUUGCUCAAACAUGCUGAUGUUGUGAGGAUGUUUUUUCCCUUAUUUAUUUAUUGAUGCAUAUGAGUGUACAGUGAUUGUAUAUUUCUCUGAGUUUUACCUAAAUUGGUCUUUAAAAGGAAGAGUAAUCUUUGUCCUUUAUCUUUUCACCUAGUUGCAUUAAUGCUUGCCAGGGCAAUAAUUAGGCUUAUCUAAUAGGUUUCUCCACAUUUUAAAAUCAAUAAUAGCAUAAGAUAGAGAGAGAUUGGUCUUGUGUAACAUUUAGGUGGGUGUUUGUUUGUUUGUUUGUUUGUUUUGUUUUGUUGGUUGUUUUUUUUUUAAUAGGGUGACAUCGUGGGUAAUAGUGCAGAAGAAUGAGCUAUUUCUCUUUAUUUCUUUUUCUUCUUCCUCAUUUUAAUUAAAGCAAAGCUUAAAAAAGGGGGAAAAAAAGAGUAUGUUGUGUAGAAAUUGCAUUUGAGACAAUAGCUAAUGAGGGAAGCUUUAGUGCAUAUAAGGGGCUCACCAGUUCUGUGAAGUCAGUAAUUUCUGAAAUAUAAAGUCACUUAACAUUUUAAGGUAUGUGUAAUGUUUAAAAAACAGUGCUUUUGGAUCUGAUGGGUCACAUACUGUAUCAAAUGAUACAAUGCAUUUUCAAUCCAUUGCCUUGUAGUCAAAUUACUGCUGCAGAAGCAAAAAAAUACUGAAUUGUUUCAGGUGACAGAGUAUAUCUGACAGGUAUCUAAAAAAUAGUGUUAAUGUAUCAGAUGGAGAAAAGAAUGUAGUGUCAAAAGAAAGCUGGAAUUCAGAAAGAGAGGAGGAAAUAUGAUUUUUGAAAUUCAAGAAAGGCAGACAACAGAAUGCAGCGUUAAAGGGCAAGAAAGAUUGUGAAGGUGUAAUUUGGAAAUAAAUCUGAAACAUAAGAGCUUCUGUAGUUAAGCUGAUAUAAAGGUUGUCUCUGUAGCCGAACAUGUUCAAUGGAUUGUAAUGUGAAAAAUCUGUUUAUGGAUAUACUGAAACUUUUCAUGCUUUGCUGACGCAGAAGCUUCUCAGAAAUCUGAUGAAAAAUUGUUGAGGUUUUUUGUUUGUAGGAAGAAAGUACUUGUUUGAUGGAAUAAUACUAGUAUGUUUGUUAGUACGUUGUCUUGUUCUCCUUUAAAAGUAUAGCAAAUGAUGUGUAUAUUAAUUUAAAUAUGGACUGGAAAUAAACUUAAAUAAGGUUAGGUCUCUCUUUUGAAAUGUUUUUAAAGGUAUUUACAUGACAUAUGGCAUAGUUAGAGGAUGUUCUGCUCCAUACAUGCAUGUGCAUUGUGAGUGUAUCUACUAAAAAAGCUUUAAAUAAAAUUUGCAAGCUUGCAAAUUGUAUGAGAUAGUUCUUUCACACUACUAAGCAAGGGUCAAGCCUCAGCUGGAAUAUCCUGUUUUCUUAAGAUGCUAUGUUUUGAGGAAAGCGCUGUAAAGUGUUACAGGAACAGCAAGGAGAAAAAUUAAAGGUCGAGAGAAUAUUCCAUCACUGAAAAUUUUGAAAUAAUCAGGGACAGAUAGAAAAGCCUAGGCAUCAGGAUAGAAGAGAGAGCAGGGUUAUGAAUGCAGAGACAGUUUUUGGAUGUAUUUGAAAAUGCUCUAGCAAGCGGACAGUGGGAAUAAAACCAGUAAUCUACAUUCAGGUACAUAUGAUAGUGAAAUUAGCAAUACCAUGGAAGAUUCAUACAAGCCAUAAGGAGAAUUUUCUACUGACACUGACAGUGAUAGAUUGACACUACUGUGGGAGAUUACAAAAUAUCUAUCACUGGAAGUUUUUUUUUUCUCUAAGUAAUGAUAGAUAAAAAUUUGAUAAAUAUAACGUUUGUCCUUUGUGGAGGGGAAGGAAGAAUAAUAUACUAUAAGAUCUUAUAGAUGACCUCACAAUUAGAAUCUGACAGUUAUUAAUAUAAGACUAAUGUUGUAGGCAAGAAAAAAAUUCGAUAGUUAAGUCCUGCUGAUACACCCCUAACUGAAACAAGUUAGGCUUUAAUCCAUUUGGUAUAUUAUAUUUUCAGCAAGAAAUGUAAGGAGUAACUGAAUCUCAAUACCUUGCAAUCAACUUUGGAUCUUCUUCAUUUAAAAAUAAAUAAAUAAAUAAAUGUGUUUUAUGUUUUAUUUACAAGAAUAAUGGGAUCAGAAGGAAAAUCAGGCUUGAAGAACCUUAGAAGAUAUCUAACCUCCUGCUCAAAAAAGGACAGCUUCGAGGUCACUCCAGUUUGCACAGGGCUUUUUCCAGUCUAGUCUCGAAAACUUCCAAAGAUGAAGUCUGCACAGCCUGCUCCUUGGAUUGACCACCUUCCAAAUGAUAAAGCUAUUUCUCUCCAGUCUGCUCCUAUUUUUUGACUUUUUUUCAUUCAUGUGAUAUUUUCAUUAGGAAAAUGAGUUGGAACAGUGACAAGAUCAGCUGCUUCCCUUCCAGUCUAGAUGUUGGUGGUGAGAGCAGCCUGUGGAGGAGGAGACUGAAGUGGAACCCAUGAGGUGUGUGGCUGCCU
ensembl:lncRNA